rnacentral:lncRNA from 1 species
AGUUGGUCCGAAGCUGGCCACCUGCGUGUGUAAGCAAGCUUGGGAGUUUGGCUCAGGCAGGGUGUCCUGUGGCAUUUAAUUGAGAAAGAACUUUACGUGGCGGUAAAUCCGUCUGGAAGGGAAAAAAGCACAAAGAGGCUGUAUAAGGACAGCGAGGGAUAGACUGGCUUAAAUUCGCGUGAAGAUUUAGUAUCGCGCGGCUGUACUAGUGAUCCCAGGGCCAAAAGUCAAAUAAGGAAGGAAGGAAACGCGCCCGUGAGAGAAUAAAGGGCGCUUUGGCCUCCCGAGGUCUCUCACGACUCAGAGGCUUAUAAACAAAGUCGCUGCCACAGUGUGAAUUGACGUUUUGCCAAAUUCUUGUCUUCAGAUAAGGGAAUUCUGAAAACGACCUUGAAAGUAGAGAAGAGGAGUGUGCAGAUAGCUUUAGCAGCCUCGCAAAGGGUUCUUGUGUUCAUCUAUUUGAAGGUAGCCACAUCUGAGCCUGAUAGAGAGAACUUUGCGUUGACGUCCUGGCCUGUGAGCUGCGUUUAGUCUCUGGAUGGGACUUUGAAGUCAUACUCCUCAGGGACAAAGGCGAGAGAGGGAACCAGGAGUCGGAACUCUUCCUCUUCGAGACCACGGGGCGUGGUCAGAGGGACUUCCUAGCUUGGCUGCAUAUCCUGACAAGAAGCCUGCAAAGGUCGUGUUCUAUAAGAAGCACUGUUCAUCUAACCCAUGCACUCUGGAUAUGAAAAACUCUGAUUUUUCCACUACUUGCUGCCAAAAAAAUAGGUGGAAGCUUCUUUACCUGCAGGCUUCCUCUGGCUAAUUGUUCCAUGAGUGGCAGCAAUGCUGUGGUCUGACAUGAGAGAGCACAGGCGUCCAGCAGUGAGGAUGGAGGCAGAAAUGAGGUUUAAUUUUACUUUUUAAUCUUUUUAGGGCCACACCUGUCACAUAUGGUUCCCAGGCUAGGGUUCACAUCGGAGCUGUAGCCGCUGGCCUACACCACAGCCACAGCUCAGGCACACAGGACCCGAGCCUCAUCUUUGACCUUCACCACAGCUCACGGCGACACCAGAUCCUUAACCCACUGAGCGAGGCCAGGAAUCGAACCUGCAUCCUCAUGGAUGCAUCACAUUCGUUUCUGCUGAGCCACAACAGGAACUCCCAGAAAUAAGGUUUAAUGCUGAGGAGGUUGUCGGUGACUCAUCUAAGCAGCCUGCACAAGUUCAAGGGAAGGCUUGUGUCCCUGGGGGUCAGUGCUCUAAUGAUUUGCAAAUACAAAAUUCUCAGUCUCUGUAUCUGCAAGUCCUAAACAUUCAAAUUUGAAACAUAGGGUUGUCCACUGUAUUUAAAGUUUUUGAGUAUAUUCUCCCCCAAGUGGCUACCACCAGCCAUUUCUUGCCAAGGAACAGCUCCUCUCUGCACUUAGAGAUAAUGCCUGAGAGCCUCAGGCCACUGCCCCUGCCGCCGCUGUGGAGUGCAGAGAGAACAGAAUUCCCUUCUCCUUUUGUUAGGGGAGGGAGGGGGACCUUCCAGAUCCAGGUCAAGUCUCUAACUGGUCUAAACCUAGACCCCCGCUCCUGCAAACCUACAAAUGUUCUCUACAGAUGCCACUUCUCAGAACAAGUAAGUCAUUAUGUGUUAAAACUGCAAAACAUCAAAUUUACCAUUUUAGCCUUUUUAAAGUACACAAUUCGGUGGCAUUUAGUACAUUCACAACUUGUGCCACUGUCAUCAUUACUCAUUUCCAGAAGUUUUUUUAUCAUCCAAACAGAACAUUUGUGCACAUUACACAAAAACUUCCCAUCACCUCCUCCCUCAGGGGAAUACUUUUAAACACUUUUGGUGCCAACACAAUCUGUAGCUGUUUUUACACCUCUUUUACAGGCUUUUGUUAUUUUAUUUAUUUAAAAACACUUAUUAGGCAACCAUACGGGGUGAACUCAGGUAAAUUCCUGGAGGAACUUGCAGUGAAGGAACUUGCAAUGAGCUAAGACAGAGACACAGAUAGAUGAUAACACACAGUGUGAUAAAUGCUACAAUAGAGAAAGGAAAGAAGAGAACUGGCUAGAGAUCUAGUGUUUAUGGAACACAAACUGUCAGAUUGCAACAAGUGCUUCUGCAUUUCAUUUCCCUUCAUAAUAGCCCUGUAAAGUAAUUACUGUUAACCCACUUUGUGGAUAAGGAAGCUCAAAUCUAGAAUGGUCUAGCAAGUUGCCUACACAUUCAGUAGCGGGUGCAAGCCCUAAGCAGACAAGUGCCAAACCAGGCUGGGUGAUUAGCCAGCUUCAUGCAUGUAGGUUUGUGCUCACAGUUCCCUGGACCUUAGUUUUCUUGUGUAAAAUGGCAGAACUACACUAGUAGACCUCUUAGGGCCUUUACAUCAGGAAGCUGAAGAAGACUGAGUGGACAUGGAUCAUUCGAGUUGCAGAUCUGAAGAAACCGAAGAGAAUUCCGCACCUUUGGACUCAGCCUGAGAGGGCCACUGAACUGAGACCCCUUUAGCUGGAUGGGUGGGGCUUUGGGACCACAGAAGUGAGACUUCUAAAUCAGUUUGGGACUCAAGAACUGCUUAACAUGGAGUUCCCACUGUGGCUCAACGGUAAUGAACCCAACUAGUACCCAUGAGGACAGGGUUUCAUCCCUGGCCUCACUCAGUGGGUUAAGGAUCCGUCAUUGCCACAAGCUGUGGUGUAGGUCACAGACAUGGCUCCUAUCCUGCAUUGCUGUGCAUUGGCCAGCAGCUGCAGCUCUGAUUCAAUCCCUGGCCUGGGAAUCUCUACAUGCCAUGGGUGUAGCAGCUAAAAAAAAUGACAAAAGGAAAAAAAAGAACUGCCAAACAGAGGGGGUUGGACUUGGUCUGAUACAUUUUGCUGAGUUACUAAUUUGCGUUCUCUGCCUCAAUUUCCUGUUUUCUUUGCUCCAUACUCAGACAUCCAAACUACCUUCCGCCCCAGGAUAAGCCUGUGGCAGGGAGGCUUGUAUUCAAACCUACCCACCUAGAGAUUAUAUGGAGGGAGCAGAGGGAAAUACGAUCAGGAGGGGACUGAAAUGUAGGUCUUAGAUAAGAUUCCUCCAGGCUGGGAGGGAGACAGUCAAAGGUAUUGGGUGGGAUUCUCAGAAGUUUACUUAACUGUGUCCUGGCACUGCUGAUGGGGUGGAGGUAGAAAACCCUCAGACAAACCAGGUGGGGUGUCGGCAGAGCACCAUAGCCUCACAUCAGUAGCAAAUAUGGGUAGAUCUCCCCAAAUACAUAACAGAAUAUGAUGCUUUCAGGCCCGGAUCAAUGCUGUGCUCUCUGCCUGGAGAGGUCGUCCUUUCUUAUCUACCUGUUGACUUUCUAUGUCAAAGCAAAACUGCACCAAAGUUAAACAGGCAAGGAAGCCCUAAUUCAAAGCUAUUGCAAGAAGGGAUCGGACUCAGAACCAAGUCUGAACUCAACUCCACUGAAACAAAGAGGAUUUUUAAGAGCCAGACAAGCUGGAAGAGUACUCAGGAUCAUUAGGGGGAUGUGCCCACACACUGAGUAACUCCUGAGUUUGUAAAGGAUUUUUCCUGUGAUGAAAGGUGGUGUUUGCCAGGUGGUGCCAUGGAAGUUAGGCUCCUCCCUCCCACAGUGACUGGGUAUGGGGGUGCCAUACUCCUUGAUGAAAAGGAAUGACUCCCAGGUCCUUGAGAAAGACAGUCUUGGGGUGUAAAACUGGCAAGGGGCUGAGGCUCUUCAGAAGGUUUACAUCUCAAAGGGCAUAGAUCCUGCUGUAGAGCCCUGGGAACUGUAUCUCGUCACUUAUGAUGGAGCAUGAUAAUGUGAGAAAAAGAAUGUAUAUAUGUAUGUGUGACUGGGUCACCUUGCUGUACAGUAGCAAACUGACAGAACACUGUAAACCAGCUAUGAUGGGAAAAAUAAAAAUCAUUUAAAAAUAAAUACAUUUUUUAAAAGGGCAG